CCUACGGGAGGCUGCAGUGGGGAAUAUUGGGCAAUGGGCGCAAGCCUGACCCAGCAACGCCGCGUGAAGGAAGAAGGCUUUCGGGUUGUAAACUUCUUUUCUGAGGGACGAAGAAAGUGACGGUACCUCAGGAAUAAGCCACGGCUAACUACGUGCCAGCGGCCGCGGUAAUACGUAGGUGGCAAGCGUUCUCCGGAUUUAUUGGGUGUAAAGGGCGUGUAGGCGGGAAAGCAAGGCAGAUGUGAAAACUCAGGGCUCAACCCUGAGCCUGCAUUUGAAACUGUUUUUCUUGAGUGCUGGGGAGGAAAUCGGAAUUCGGGGUGUAGCGGUGAAAUGCGUAGAUAUACGGAGGAACACCAGUGGCGAAGGCAGAUUGCUGGAGAGUAACUGACGCUGAGGCGCGAAAGCGUGGGGAGCAAACAGGAUUAGAUACCCUGGUAGUC
rnacentral:rRNA from 1 species